rnacentral:rRNA from 1 species
AACGAACGCUGGCGGCAGGCUUAACACAUGCAAGUCGAGCGCCCCGCAAGGGGAGCGGCAGACGGGUGAGUAACGCGUGGGAAUCUACCGUACCCUACGGAACAACAGUUGGAAACGACUGCUAAUACCGUAUACGCCCUACGGGGGAAAGAUUUAUCGGGGUAUGAUGAGCCCGCGUUGGAUUAGCUAGUUGGUGGGGUAAAGGCCUACCAAGGCGACGAUCCAUAGCUGGUCUGAGAGGAUGAUCAGCCACAUUGGGACUGAGACACGGCCCAAACUCCUACGGGAGGCAGCAGUGGGGAAUAUUGGACAAUGGGCGCAAGCCUGAUCCAGCCAUGCCGCGUGAGUGAUGAAGGUCUUAGGAUUGUAAAGCUCUUUCACCGGAGAAGAUAAUGACGGUAUCCGGAGAAGAAGCCCCGGCUAACUUCGUGCCAGCCGCCGCCGUAACAC